ACUUCUUAUUAAGAACUAAGAUGAGCUAGAGUUUUCAUAAGAAUUAUCUUAGUAAGGUAUCUCAUAUUUAUAUUACUAAUUUAUUACUCAUAUCUGAAGAAAUGAGGAAUUUCAACUAAUCAUUUUACAUUGUUAGACUUUUCUCAUAAUUUAAGGUUCAAAAUGAUAACAAACCAUGAGCCAUCUUGGCUGUAAUAGAAUUUGGGUUUUUUUUUAUAAAAACGUGUUCUGAUAUAUGUCAGAAUAUACAUAGAGUACCCAUGACAAAUAGGUUUCAUCAUAUGGCUUUUCUUCCUAGAAAAACUACUUAGCUUUAUUUUAUAAACUAAAACCAUUUGGUAAGGCUUUUGAAUAGCUGGACAAGAUUUUUCUUCACUUAGUCUUGCAUGCCUGCUCACUUAAUCAGACCAUUCUAUUGUAGUUUACAUGAAUUUGCAUAGGUAAUCAGUGUAUCAUUGCUUGUAUACCUUAUAUGUCUGUAAUUAUAAUGACUGUUCAGCCUAUUACAAGCAUAUUAAAGAGUCCAUAUAAUGAAUUAAGUAAGUUCUCCUAUUGUGCAGUUCAUUAGCAGUACUCCUGGUCCAUCCAAAUACAAGAAAAAGCCGUUUAAGUAAAAAACUAACUAAUGCAUGUAGAUGUGGCCAUUAGUUGCGUAACAGGCGUAAUCUUUAAAAUGUUUUGUCAAAGCAAAUGUUUCAAGCCAGUAAAUUCUAUUUCAAGGGAAUUUCCCCAUAUAGAAAUGUAACAUUUUACUUCCACCAGUGGUACCACAUUUAGAGACCUAUUUUGCCUCCUCUUAAAUUAGUUUACAUAAACAAAGAACUAAAUGUAUUUGAAUAGUAGAUGAGCAAGAACAUUUAAAGAUAAACAACUCUAUAAUAUCUGAGUUUGUUUUAUAAGGUCACAUUUGUCUUUCAUAAAUUUUGCCUGGUGAAUCAAGAUAAUUUGAGUUACUUCUAUGUAAUGCUUAGUAGAAAUUUUGUUUUUUUACUUUUUUAAUUUUGUCACAUCCUUCCCCUGAUAUUUCCAUCCAGCAGACCUUGGACUCUCAGAAAACUCCCCUGAAUGUUUCUCCUUCUACAUAUCUCUUCCGUGGUGGUCCCAAACUCUGGGAUAUUUUCCUCCCAAGUUCAUACAAUGCCAAUUGGCAUAACUAACUUAUAAUUAAAGGACUGAUUUCUAUGAUGUUCCAGGAAUUCAUAUAUAUUAGUAAGAACACAGACAUUGUAGUAGAAAAUCCGAAAAAUAAAAAAAUGAGCAAUUCGUAGAAAAAUUAUAAUUUUAUUAAAAGAAGCUCAAUGUUGGGGCUCCUACGUAGCUCAGUCAGUUAAGUGUCUGAUUUCAUCUCCGGUCAUGAUCUUAAGGCUCCUAAUUUUGAGUUCCUCCUAAGGCUCUCUGCUAUCAAUACAGAACAUGCUUCAGAUCCUCUGUCUCCCUCUCUCUCUGAACCUCCCCCAUACACUCUUUCUCUCAAAAAUCAAUAAACACUUAAAAGAGGCUUAGUGUGAUAUAUAAUUAAGCAAAUGCUCAUUAGGACAACAGUAUACUUUUUUCACCUACCAGAUUGGCAAACAUUCAAAAAGUUUAAUAAUACCUGAUACUGAUGCAUGUAUAAAAACAAUUAUUCUCAUAAACUGUUGGUAAACUUAUAAACUAAUGUUAACAUUGUCUUUUGUUUCUUGGCUUUUACAUCUUGUAAAACCAAAACUCUAUACCCAUUAGACAACAACUCUCCAUGUCCCCCUUUCCCCAGCCCCUGACAACCUCCAUUCUUUUUUCUGUUGUUAUAAAUUUGACUAUUUUAGAUUCUUCAUAUGAAUGGAAUCAUAUCAUAUUUGUCCUUUUGUGACUGGCUUAUUUAUGCUAUGCAGACAACUUCUAAUUCUAUAUAUCAAACCCUUAACUGUUACCUUUAAGCAAUCAACAAAAAUUGACAAUGAAAGUGGUAAUUAGAGUGAGAUUUUAUAUAUUACCACUGUUUGCCUUCAGAGAAAAUAGGGACUUAACUGUGGGGCCAAGCGGAGGAGGAGUGAGGGAGGAUCUUUUUAUCCCAAGAAGAGUGAGCAGUCAGUCCAUGGUUGGUAGCAACAGGUGUCAGUGAAAUGAACUGUGCCUUCAAAAGGUGAGACUGUGAGGGAUUUAGAGGGCCCUGCCACAGAGAAAUUCCCACAAAAUGAAGAAUUCAAGGAAAACAUGAUGGAUGCAUCACUCAGAACAUUAGGUGUACCUAUUAAAGAAAGGAUGAAUUUAAUAAAUCACAGCAGACCACUAUAUGAUUAUGCUGAAGAGCUAUGGUUUCUUCUUUAGUCAGUACCUUGAGAUUGCUGAACAUUAUCCCGUCAGUGUGUGCACAUGAGUGUGUGUGUGUGUGUGUGUGUGUGUGUGUGUGUGUGUUUGCUUGUUGAAUUGAAACUUCUGGUAACUUCUCGACCAUUUAAUUUUUUACUUCUGUGGUGAAACAAUGUCUUCAUUGUCGAAAAUAAGAUGAAGUAUCUGGGAGGAGUGAAAUUUCUGAACACCCAGUCCAAUUAAAGAUACUUUUUUUGUGUACCUUUUCCAAACAUCUACCUCAUUCUGAGAUGUAUUCAGUUAUAGGGAUUAAAUAUUUCAGGUCUUAGGAGUAUCAAAAAAGCAGAGUAGAAAAAUAAUAAAAUAAUAAAAACUGUGCUUUUGCCAUUGAUUAUAUAAGUAAAUAAAAUGAUUAUAAAAAUAAAGGCGGUGAUAGAAAACUAUAUAUACCACUGCUAUAUAUAGCAGUGUUUCCCAAACAUGCCUUAUUAUAUAAUCAUGUGGAGCUCUUACUGAGCACACAGAGUUUUGGUUCCAGCCCAAACUGAGUCAGAUCCUCUAAAAUAGGGCAAUUAAUAUGUUUAAAAGGUGCCUUUGGUGAAUUAUGUGAUCAGGUCAGUUUUUAGUAAGUUUUAUUCCACAGCAAUUAUUUUCAGUGUAUUUUUCCUAGUCCAAGGGCAUUAACAUUGCUAGAAAUGGAAAACCUCAGGCCUAUUAUUGUAUUCUGGGAGUGAGGCCCAGCAAUUAGGUUAGUAUAAGCCCUCCAGGUGAUCCUGAUUAAGGCUAAAGACCAAGAACCACUCUUCUACAGAUUUCAGAAUGAUGAAGAAUAAGACUUAGGUGUGUCUACAACAAAUCUUAAGUAAAAAAGGUCAAUAUUGGGAGAUGUUAGACUUUAUGACAGACAACAGCUUUUAAACAGGGACCUCUGUAAAGAAUAUAUGAACACACAACUUACGGAUUUUCUCCUUUUGUGAAGAGGCUGCUGUUCUGCCAUCCAGUUGAAUGGUUACCAAGUGCCUCGCGCUGACUAAGCACUUUUCCUACAUUGCAGUAAUCAUUGAACUCCAUUUUCAGGUGAGCACUUCAUGGAAGAGUUGGCAUUUUAGUGGGAACUUGAAAGGUAGUGUCUCCACAGGUAGAAGUUGGGAAGAAAAUUAAUUCUGGACAGAGGCAAGAACGUGAGUCAAAGCAAGGACAAAGAAAAACAAAGUUAAUUUGGAUAAUAAUGGAGUAGAGCAGUGGCUCUCAAACUUUAUCUGCAUGAGAAUCACCUGGAGAGUUGAUUCUGAUGCAGAGUUUGUGAUUUACUACACCUGGCGGUGGGCCUGAGACUCCCAACUACCAGUACAUUACUGGGUUAUGCUGGAGCUGCUGAUCUGAGGACUACACUUUGAGAAUCACUGAUACGGCGUGUGAGUUGGAGGGUGAUGGCAAACAAAUGCCGAGAAAUGUUGGUUUAUGAGGCCGGAAUACAGAGGACCUGAAUUCAUACCAAGAAGUGGUGACUUAUUUUAGAACUAUGUGGUAAGCCAGAAGCCACAUACCAUGGUGUGCUGGUAAAUCCACCCUGAGGGGAAAAAAACCCUGAUUUGAAGCGCUUGCUGAUGCCUUUAAGCUACCAAGCUAACAUCACACUCCACACUGAGCAGGAGUUGGGAAGAGGUAUGAACAGUCGUCUCUCCAGAACGUUUCUGGAUUUUGAGCUGGCUGCAGUAAUUGGAAUUGAACUUGGAUUUUCUCUCUUGGGUAAUAGGCAAUUCUCCUCUGAUGUAACGUAUUGAGAUCACUGUGCCACACCUCAGGAUGGAUACUUGGACAACUGGAGUCAUUGGACUCCAUACUUGGAGUCAACCGGAGACAACAGUUGAGAAAAACCAUUCUAUUUUCAAGAUCACAAAGUCCAUAUUUUUCAUCUUGACCAUGGGUGUUUCAAGAAAAAUACCUCCCUUCUCUCAUUACCAGUGUUCAAGUGCAAUAAAGUAAGACUGUUUUGUUGU